UGAAUCAUUUUUCAAAAUGGAUGAUAACUGCAAUUGUAUUCAUCAUUUUGUUUUUCUUUUCAUGUACUGUUCUUUGCAGUUUUUCCAAAAGAAAAGGUCAGAGAACGUGCCUGAACCGUAGAUGCCUAGCCUACUAUCAACACUGUUACCCACACCAACAGAGACGGAGAACUUAAUGAGCCACCACCACCAGACAGACAUAAUUGAAAAUUACUGCUUUGUGCAACCAUCAUCAAAGAAGCAUCAUUUUUGCAAGGUGGGAGCAAAUAUAAAGACUCAGACAUUACACAGAGAGUGAGAAACCUUGAAAUGCUCAGCCUCAAAUCUCCUUAAAUCCCUCCAAUUAAAGCUCAGAGGAGUCUGCAAAAGUGGAGGGCGGAAAGAGUUGGAAGAACCAGAGGGGAAUGGAGGACUUAAAAAACAAACAAACAACAACAAGAAAACAACAAACCAGGCCUUCUAAUUUACCAUCAAAAUGCUCACAUGAGCUCACAGAGAUUGAAACUGCAGGCACAGAGCUUGCCCAGGUCUGCACCAAGUCCUCUGUAUAUAUACUAUGGUUUCCAGUUUAGUGUAUUCAUGGAAUUUCUGAGGGUACAAAUUUGUCUGUCUCUGAUUCUGUGCUUUUUCUUGACCCCUUUCCCUUCUGUUGGUUUGUCUUGUCCAAAUUUGAUGUGAUAAUAUUUGUUUUAUUAUAUUACAUUUUGAAAAAAAAAGAAUGGAAGAAGGAAGGAAGGAAGGAAGGAAGGAAGGAAGGAAGGAAGGAAGGAAGGAAGGAAGGAAGGAAAGAAGGAAGGAAUGAUAGAAGAGAUGAAAACGUAGUCACUAAGGUAAAGGUUAACAACUGAACUGUCACUUAUACUUGCUGGGAAAGGAAAAAGCAGUUUUGUUCAACAGAGAGUGAUACAGGGUAUUUCAUCCACUUUAGUCAGGCCUCAUGUUCAACAGUAGCUGAUCAACUUUUAAUGGA